GUGGGGAAUCUUGCGCAAUGGGCGAAAGCCUGACGCAGCCAUGCCGCGUGAAUGAUGAAGGUCUUAGGAUUGUAAAAUUCUUUCACCGGGGACGAUAAUGACGGUACCCGGAGAAGAAGCCCCGGCUAACUUCGUGCCAGCAGCCGCGGUAAUACGAAGGGGGCUAGCGUUGCUCGGAAUUACUGGGCGUAAAGGGCGCGUAGGCGGACAGUUUAGUCAGAGGUGAAAGCCCAGGGCUCAACCUUGGAAUUGCCUUUGAUACUGGCUGUCUUGAGUACGGGAGAGGUGAGUGGAACUCCGAGUGUAGAGGUGAAAUUCGUAGAGAUUCGGAAGAACACCAGUGGCGAAGGCGACUCACUGGCCCGUUACUGACGCUGAGGCGCGAAAGCGUGGGGAGCAAACAGGAUUAGAAACCCUAGUAGUCC
rnacentral:rRNA from 1 species